CGAGUUGCCAGGCCUUGCACGAUGAGAAGCUGCCCUUCCCCCCAUGGGCUGAUAACUAGCCUGCAGGAGGCAAGAACAGCUACAUUACAGCCCAAGCAAGAAUGUUUUGGGUGGCAGCUCUGUCUUUAUGGAAAAUCCUGCCAAAGGACAAGAGGACAGACAGUACCUUCUCUUCUUCAAUUCAGAGUAAUAUGUAAGGCAGAGAAAUACAGGAAGGUGACCUUGUUGGUGACCUUGAGACAGCACUUGAAAAGCUACAGGGGGAGUUCCGUGCCAUGCGGAUCAGGCCCUUACAGUAUUUUAACAUCACUAUAGAAGGGCAACAGCAAACUCGUGGAGGCCACAAGUUCACCAUCAUAUUUAGUUUGGCCCUCAUAGUCAGAAAACCACUGGAUGAACUACACCUCACUGGCUGUGGCCAUUCAAGAAACAGCCUAAUUCAAGUCAACAAGAACAAAGCAGCCUCAUAAUCUGACUACACAUAAAAUAUGACUGAUAUUAUUAUAAACGGCCUGAAAGUAUACACACACAUUGCUUUCCCACCCACCCAUUCCCAUUCCCCCAAGUAUAAAGAUCUACUUUUAGCUUUUAAUUUUUUAAUGGGAAAAAGGAAGUUUGCUCGUCACACAAUUCAGCAGCCAAGGUCAAGAGCUGCUUAUUCCUGCAGGUGUUGGGUGACAACCUGAUGAUCUAUUUCUGCUCCAGCUGUACAAAAUAUGGCUCUCUUGUGAAAUCAAAAAUCCCAAGAAAAGGCCAAAGGUCAGAAUGUUCUUGGAACCACUGUCAAGAAAAUGGAGAUAAAUACACACAAUUCCUGUCCCAUUAUCUUGAUACAAAAAGGUUUCUCUGCCUUUUCCCCAAAUCCCUGAAGGAUGCCGAUGCUUAAAGAAAUAAAUUUUAGACUACAUUUUAAUAGGUCUCCAGAUAUUAGCACUUUUCGUUUUAUAUAAAAGAGGAUUAUCCAGUUGUGGGAAGAAUUUGUGUUUAUCACUAUUCCACAAUAGCGGAAGAGUUUCAGGAGUUCAGCUCUAUGCGUACCACAAUCCCACGACACCACAGGGAAAAGCAAGGAACGGAAUCCAGCUUCUCCCAAGGACAACAGUUUUCGAUUCUUACAGCAAGGUUCUAGUUCUUAUGCUUGCAAGAAUAUGAUCACAAGUAUACGGGCAACACCAAUGUUAUGAAGUCUGUCUAUACAGCAUAACAAGAAACUACUUAAAUUUAUUAUUUUAAACUUCAAUAACUAGAGCCCAUCAGAUAUAUGAAACCUAUUCUGAGCAUACAGAAUAUUUGUACUGUCAUGUGUGCACAUACCCAUGCCAUUAAUGUAUUCUCUGAACUGAUAUAUUGAUCUGAUCUGCUUACUAUAUUGAUCUACUGUAUGCUCAGUUUGUGCUUUGUAAGGUAGCCACAUGCCAUUCUUGGCUUGCCUGAAAACGAAAGUACUAAUGCUGAUUUCACAGAGAAAGUAACCAGCCUGUUAUCUCUGAAAGUAUGCUCAAUGACCUUGCAGCUGUAAUGUAACUCUUCAUAGGGGAAAGAGGGAGUUUUGAUUCCUUGUAAUCUUCUGCCUUUCUCUGUCCAGACAAAGCUAUUGUGUUCUCAUGGAACUUUUUAGGAUUUUCGUGCUUAAAUGCUAACUGCUCCAAGGGAGGGGGAAUAGUGCUCCUUAUAUCAAUAGUGCAUAUGCUUGUAUCCUCAUUCCUGCCAACCUAUCCCAUCUAUGGAUGUACCCAUGAACUUAAUGGCUCUCUGAAUAAAGACCUU